rnacentral:rRNA from 1 species
AUUGAACGCUGGCGGCAGGCCUAACACAUGCAAGUCGAACGAGUGGCGGACGGGUGAGUAAUGUCUGGGAAACUGCCUGAUGGAGGGGGAUAACUACUGGAAACGGUAGCUAAUACCGCAUACCAUCAGAUGCGCCCAGAUGGGUUUAGCUAGUUGGUGGGGUAACGGCUCACCAAGGCGACGAUCCCUAGCUGGUCUGAGAGGAUGACCAGCCACACUGGAACUGAGACACGGUCCAGAAUCCUACGGGAGGCAGCAGUGGGGAAUAUUGCACAAUGGGCGAAAGCCUGAUGCAGCCAUGCCGCGUGUGUGAAGAAGGCCUUCGGGUUGUAAAGUACUUUCAGUGGGGAGGCGUUACCAUCAGAAGAAGCACCGGCUAACUUCGUGCCAGCUGCCGCGGUAAUUC